AACGUAGGAGACAAACGUUAUCCGGAGUUACUGGGCGUAAAGGGCGUGUAGGUGGUAGUGUAAGUCUGGCGUGAAAUUUUUCGGCUUAACCGGGAAAGGUCGUCGGAUACUGCACAACUAGAGGACGGUAGAGGCGUGUGGAAUUCCGGGUGUAGCGGUGAAAUGCGCAGAUAUCAGGAGGAACACCAAUUGCGAAGGCAGCUCGCUGGGACGUAACUGACGCUGAGACGCGAAAGCGUGGGGAGCAAACAGG
rnacentral:rRNA from 1 species